CUGGGUUCCAAGGCCUCGUGCCUACCACCCGCCCUCUGUCAUUUGCAACGGUAUUGCUUCGGCCGCUGGCUCCCCGGUGCCGGUGCUCCCUCUCGGGGGCGCCGCGCGGGGGGGUCACGGUCGGUCUUCCAAUCCUCCAAGGAAUUUAUGUCGUCUGAUGCACAAUGCAAAAACGAAAAGCA
rnacentral:misc_RNA from 1 species